rnacentral:misc_RNA from 1 species
GAACAAAAAGCCAAAGGGGGACAGCAGAACUACGAAAACACACUGAUAUCAAAUCUGCCUUUGAAGCGCUACAGCAGCUUUGGGCAUUAGCGUAACAACCCGUAGUGGAUCACACCAAUGAGAAAGUUUAUGCUAGAGACCAAGGCCGCCCUGGGUGUCGCGCCCAAGACUGUGGACUGGGACUUCGAAGAAAAGGCUGGCAAUUUGAAAACUAUCAACCACACGCUUUCCGACUAUAAAUCUGCCGUGGAACAGACGAGGUCAGCUUCUCAAAACCUUUUGACAUCAAUGGAGAGUAUGUUGAAAGUACUGGAGACAAUGACACGCGGAAAUGACAUUCCUGACAACGUGAGGGGCGUUGUAGGGGACUUCGCCCAGAUGGUGCAGAAGGCGCACUGCGAGCUCCUCGUGGACUUCAAGAAGACGCUCGAUGACGACGACAGCGUAGCUGAGAUCGAGAGCCUAGCAGGCAAGUGCAAGAGUCUGGAGGCAAGGCGCAGCAAAGUGAUGAAUGAAUACGACGCGUACCGCGAAGCUGUAACCAAGAAAGAGGCAGAGUAUCGAAAGAAAGGUAAAGAUUUGUGUGACUCGAAACUCUACGAGGAGGAAGUUUCCAGGCGUGACAGCCUAAAGGCUGGCUUUCAGAAGAUCGACAAGGAGUUCAAGGAGACGUAUGCCGAGCUGGAGAAGAAGAAGCUGCGCAGCUACAUGGCUGCCCUCUCCACUUACUUGGCAAGCACAUCGCAGUUGAUGGGGUCGAUCCAUAAGGAAAUGGAAUCGACCAAGAGAAAGGCAGACAUGGUCAAAAUCUAGUGAUCUUUUCCGCGGAAACAAGAAAAAUCAGCAUCAGACUGUUGCCGUUCGCUAUUAUGAUUUUCGCCUUGAGUGCUUCAUUAUCCUCUUCGAAACGCGAUACACGUCGAUGAGGGCACGUAAUUCGUGGCUGGCUUUCAGCCUCAUCUGGCACGGUGUCUCGUUCAUCCUCUUGCACUUGUGUGCCUAUGCAUCAGCGGUUGCUAUUACCAACUUUAUGACUAUUAAAAGGGUCCUCUGGUUGAUGCAAUUACACGCGAACCGUGAGGUAGCUGCUAUCGUUGUUUACGCUUGCGUAGAAAGAAAGCGAGGAGAGUCUAUGCAUCAGUAAAACCCGUCCUUUUUUUUUUCUUGUUGAUACAUGAGAAUGGCUGGGAUUCGGUUUUCUUUUGGGGAUUUACUUCCCUGGUGGAGAGCAUCUCAGCGUGGUGUAUCAGGGCCCAGUUCAUCCCGUGCGUGGGGAAGCCAGGGCGAUGCACCGCUGUUUAUGCCGCCGAUCAGGUCCUGGAUGGCACUGCGCCGAAGCGAGCUGAGACAGUGAGCACGCCUGUACCAUUCAUGUGAUGGGCAGAGUGUCCGCGUGACUCCAACGUACCCCACCCGGCCCUCGCACUGCCUAGUAUUGUUGGGAGCCUGAGCCACCUCGAGUGGAAUGCACCAAGUGGCAACGGGCAUGAUGGGAGCGGCUGAGAAGGAACCUGCGGGGCGGGGUGUGGGUGGGUAGGGUUUGAGGCAAGGACCGUGCUCACAUGACUGAGUGGGCGCAUGGCUGUAGCGCAUGUGUCUACGGCUGCUUCGCACUGCGUGAUUGGGCCUGUGACAGGCAGGAUAGAGUGGUGGUUCACUAAUGUUCAAUGGCGGAGAGCGGGCACACGUUGGCGAAUAAAAACCUCGUGUUGACUCUCCACUACCCUCUCUUUUCCCUUCCCCUGACGAAAUCUGGAUAGGACAGGUUAUCGAGGGACUAUUCGCUAUUUUUAUCUUUGUCGCAUGCUUCCGCCUCCGUGCUGGUGAAUAGAAGCAGUGAAUCUACGCUCGAACGAAUCCAAAACUUAUUCUGUGCCAAGCGCUAAAGAGUCGCUGUGAACUGGUUUUC